rnacentral:rRNA from 1 species
GACGAACGCUGGCGGCGUGCUUAACACAUGCAAGUCGAGCGGUAAGGCCCUUUCGGGGGUACGACGAGCGGCGAACGGGUGAGUAACACGUGGGUGACCUGCCCUCAGCUCUGGGAUAAGCCUGGGAAACCGGGGUACUAAUACCGGAUAUGACUCCAUGACGCAUGUUGUGGGGUGGAAAGCCUUGUGCGGCUGAGGAUGGGCCCGCGGCCUAUCAGCUUGUUGGUGGGGU